UACGUAGGGGGCAAGCGUUGUCCGGAAUCAUUGGGCGUAAAGAGCGUGUAGGCGGCUCGGUAAGUCCGCUGUGAAAACUCGAGGCUUAACCUCGAGCUGUCGGCGGAAACCAUCUGGCUAGAGUCCGGAAGAGGAGAAUGGAAUUCCCGGUGUAGCGGUGAAAUGCGCAGAUAUCGGGAAGAACACCCGUGGCGAAGGCGGUUCUCUGGGACGGUACUGACGCUGAGACGCGAAAGCGUGGGGAGCGAACAGG
rnacentral:rRNA from 1 species